rnacentral:lncRNA from 1 species
UGGCAGCAGACGGCUGUGUUCUGCGUCCGGGGCGAAGGCCAGGCGGGCGGUGGCUAGCCCUGAUGGCGCCGGGGGUCGCACCGCGGCACCGUAGCCGCUUAGUGUCCGUCCAUCCGACCGAUUACCGGUGUCAAGUAUCACCGAGAUGUGUCAGACCCAGAUCCCCAGGGUUCUCCUGGGAUUCCUGGAGCCUCUGGGGACAGUCCUGUGGCAGAGGGGUCCAAGUUCCAGAAGGCUGUGAUCACAUCAGCCACAGGUAGAUGGACAUCCUACCUGGCUGUAGCCCUCAUGCUGGUCUGAACAUUGAACUUGGAAAUCCUACUUGGUUGUGCAGCGAGGCCAAAGGCCCACCCAUGCUGUCCCCAGUACUGAGUGACCACCAAAAAGGAGUUCUGGCCUACCAGUGCCCCAUCUCUUCAUGAUCUCCCCUAGGGCCAUGUGAAACUGGGGUUCAGAGAGGGAGCUGAGGAAGGGUGGAAGCAACAGAAAGACAGAUUUCACCUCCAUAUAAGGAAGAGCUUGCUAACAGGCAGAGCUGCCCAGAAAUGGAAGGAGCC